GAAGAAUUAGGGUUUCAAGCAGCACCUAUAAAUAAAUACUCGUAGUCCGAACUUAAAAUAAAAAGAGGGUCCCCGUUCCCUACCCCUUUUCACGGCUAUGAAAUCAACUGGCUCGAUCCUCAUAUCCUAUUAGGGUCGGUAAUUUUGACUGAUCUGGAGAAUUGGGCGGAGGCCGCUACAUUUUCUGAGGCAACAACAUGAGGGCAAAGUGGAAGAAGAAGCGCAUGAGGAGGCUCAAGAGGAAGCGCCGAAAGAUGAGACAAAGAUCCAAGUAGAAGCUGGAUACCACAUGGUUUCUUCAUAUUUGAACCUGCAUCUUUUUCAUGACCUGCUUUUGGCUCCUGAUGUCAAGCAGCUCUUAUGUGUGGAUGAAAGUUUUAGCUGGGGAAACUACCAUCUUAUAUGUCUACUGUUCUGCAAGACUCUUUAAAAAAUUUACUUAGUUGUUUUAGUAACUUUUGUGUCUAUUCCAGUGUAAGCGGCAUGUUGUGUCUAAAAACCUAUUUUUCCCUAAUUUGAAACUGGAACUAGUGUUUUGACAUGGAAGGUAUUAGUUUAUAAAAUAUGUAUUGGUUGACCAUCCAGGCG